rnacentral:lncRNA from 1 species
GGUGGGCAGGCGCAUGCGCGCGCGCAGCUGAAACGCCGGCUGAUGAAACUGACAAAGGCGAGAGCGCGCAGCAGCCCACAGCAGCCGAGUUCGCGCCGCCGGUAGGUGCUGCCAUGCCAGGGGGCGGGAUCGUGGAGCGCCUCGCAGAACCGCACGAAAGCAAAAACAAAGCCAUCUCUCCGGAGCAGAAAUAGAACAGACGUGGCCGGGGAAAGCCAAAUAUUUGUGAGAUGAUGUGAACAAAGGGGGAAAAGUCAAUCCAGGGAAGUUUGAGUUUCUGGUUGGAGGCUUCAGCGGCUCUGAUCGCUGGAUACUUUAAGAGAACAUCCUUUGCCCCCGCUCUCCCUCUCUCCCCGAAGAAAAAUAAAUCCUUGGCAAAAUGAGACUUGACGGCAUGAAAAGAAGGUCUCCAGACUGUCCCAGCUGGCGCGGGCGGGGCCGGGGCCGAGGUGCCGCUUGGUGACACUGCAGCCGCGGCUCAGCACUGUCACCCAGAAAGGCCCGCCGACGUCUGUAUGCAGGGAACGUGGCUCUUAGCAGAGCCUGGACAGGCGCAGGGCCAAGGAAGUCUUUGUUUUUGUUUCUUUCUCUAGCCCUUCCUGCCAAUACAUCAGGGAUAUAACUCCUUGGUGUUUCUGCCUUACAAUCGCUCCUUAUACCCCACCCAGAUCCUCAGCACUGCAGCUCCCACUGCCACUGCCCGCUGUGAGUCACCUCCCCCUCUCCCUUUUUUAAACCAAACGGCAAGGCCAUAUUGCAGUUAUCCAUAAAUGGAAAAGCAAGAAGCCACCAAUACCUGUUUGAGAAGAUGGCAUUUUAAUUAGCACACUCCGGCUGCCAUAAACCCGGGCUCCUGCCCCACCUCUCCCCCCGCCCCCUCCUCCCCCCUCCCCCGCCGUGCCCUCUCUCAACCUCCCCGCUCACCCCCAUCUAUGUAAAAAAGCCAUAAAGCCUCUCUCCAAUCGCUUUCUCGGAGGGAGUUUUUGCAACCCCCACAACACAGGUUGAUUGGAAAGGUCUCUCUCCCGGAUAACAACAAUUCAAUGUGCCUUGACAUUUUAAUAGCCUGCCGUCCUGGUGAACACAAUCGAGCAAGGCAGUGAAGCAAACAUCAUUAGGUGGCUGGACUCAGACACAUCACGCUCCAGUUUGGGUUCCAAGGUGCUUCUCUCUGGAUUUUCACCUGCCUUGCCAAAAAUGAUUGAUUACGCUGGGCCAACUGGGUGUCCGGCAAUACCCAACAAAUGACUUUGGCCCCUAACAGCAGGUCUUGGCCAGACAGAAAUCAAUAUUUCACCAUUAAAAUCUAUCAAAGAAGAGUUAAGGCACCAUCUGUCCCUGCCGCCUCUCUAUGGUGUGUGAACAUUAAAUCCGACACUUGUACUACAUGGGUAAUCAAUAUAUAGUGGUUCACAGAUCAUUUGUGGUUCCCUUUUAGCAGUGAUGGAUGUCUGGAAUCGUUGUGAUUCAUUUUGUCAGACCAUUAAACAAGAUUCUGUCCAGUUCCUUCCUGA